GUGAGGAAUAUUGGUCAAUGGGGGCAACCCUGAACCAGCCAAGUCGCGUGAAGGAUGAAGGUCUUAUGGAUUGUAAACUUCUUUUAUACAGGAAUAAAUUGGGGGACGUGUCCCCUUUUGCAUGUACUGUAUGAAUAAGGAUCGGCUAACUCCGUGCCAGCAGCCGCGGUAAUACGGAGGAUCCGAGCGUUAUCCGGAUUUAUUGGGUUUAAAGGGUGCGCAGGCGGGAUGUUAAGUCGGCGGUGAAAUUUUGCAGCUCAACUGUAAAAGUGCCUUCGAUACUGGCCUCCUUGAGUGUGGAUGAAGUAGGCGGAAUUUGUGUUGUAGCGGUGAAAUGCUUAGAUAUCACGAGGAACUCCGAUUGCGCAGGCAGCUUACUAGGCCACAACUGACGCUCAUGCACGAAGGCGUGGGGAUCAAACA
rnacentral:rRNA from 1 species